UACAGAGGUCCCAAGCGUUGUUCGGAUUCACUGGGCGUAAAGGGUGCGUAGGUGGCGAGGUAAGUCGGAUGUGAAAGCUCGGAGCUCAACUCCGAAAUGGCAUUGGAAACUACCUUGCUCGAGGGUUGGAGGGGGGACUGGAAUGCUUGGUGUAGCAGUGAAAUGCGUAGAUAUCAAGCGGAACACCAGUGGCGAAGGCGAGUCCCUGGACAACUCUUGACACUGAGGCACGAAAGCUAGGGGAGCAAACAGG
rnacentral:rRNA from 1 species